GCUUGGCCCUAAACCUCAGUAGUUAGAUAACAAAACUACUCGCCAGAAUACUACGAGCUACAGCUUAAAACUCAAAGGACUUGACGGUGCUUUACACCCCCUAGAGGAGCCUGUUCCGUAAUCGAUAAACCCCGAUCCACCCCACCCUCUCUUGCUCAGCCUAUAUACCGCCAUCUUCAGCAAACCCUAAUGAAGGUCACAAAGUGAGCGCAAACGCCAUCACCGCGAAUACGUUAGGUCAAGGUGUAGCCAAUGAGAUGGUAAAAAAUGGGCUACAUUUUCUACCUCAGAAAAUUCCACGAAAACCCUUAUGAAAUUUAAGGGCCCAAGGAGGAUUUAGCAGUAAAUUAAGAAUAGAGUGCUUAAUUGAACCAGGCCAUAAAGCGCGCACACACCGCCCGUCGUUCUU
rnacentral:rRNA from 1 species